CGUUGGUGAACCAGCGGAGGGAUCAUUACCGAGUUUACAACUCCCAAACCCAAUGUGAACCAUACCAAACUGUUGCCUCGGCGGGGUCACGCCCCGGGUGCGUCGCAGCCCCGGAACCAGGCGCCCGCCGGAGGGACCAACCAAACUCUUUCUGUAGUCCCCUCGCGGACGUUAUUUUUACAGCUCUGAGCAAAAAUUCAAAAUGAAUCAAAACUUUCAACAACGGAUCUCUUGGUUCUG
rnacentral:misc_RNA from 1 species